GUGUCUGUGCGGAAUAGUUUUCGAGUUUCCCAUGGUUUCAGCUGAGAAGUUAAACUCAACGCCAUGUUUGUUUCACGUAAAUACUGUGGUCGAGUCCAAAAGUACCUGGUGAACAUGCUAGUUUCCAAACACUUACUGAGCUAACUUACUGAGCUAUUCUAUGGUUGGAAGUCAAGAAAAUGGUUGAAAGAAAAACUGAACUGUCGAGAUUACGCAUAUCAUCUAGAAAGUUGGUACUAGCGCCCCGAGGCUGUCAACKUUGAACAUAACUCGUUUAUUGCACAUGCACUUCGAACCAUCUUGUAAGUUUUGUAUCGAUUAAUUGUAGGCGUCAGUGUUGGUUACCCUGUUCAUKCUGAAAAUCGAAAUUACAUGGUAUUCGUAUGUUUAAUAGAAAUAACAAUAAAAUAGCAAAAGAUUUC